UUCGCAAUGCCCGAAAGGGUGACGAAGCGACGCCGCGUGUGGGAAGAAGGCCUUCGGGUUGUAAACCACUGUCGGGAGUUAGGAAAUGCAGGUGCGUUAAUAGCGUUCUUGCUUGACUAAGGCUCCGGAGGAAGCCACGGCUAACUCUGUGCCAGCAGCCGCGGUAAUACAGAGGCGGCAAGCGUUGUUCGGAAUUAUUGGGCGUAAAGAGCACGUAGGCGGCUGUGUAAGUCGGUUGUGAAAGCCUUCCGCUUAACGGAAGAACGGCAUCUGAUACUACAGGGCUUGAGUACGGGAGGGGAGAGUGGAACUUCUGGUGGAGCGGUGAAAUGCGUAGAUAUCAGAAGGAACGCCGGCGGCGAAAGCGACUCUCUGGUCCGAAACUGACGCUGAGUGUGCGAAAGCUAGGGGAGCAAACGGGAUUAGAUACCCCGGUGGUCCUAGCCGUAAACGAUGGGCACUAAGUAGAGGGGUUUU
rnacentral:rRNA from 1 species